UGAAAAUAGAAAGUAUAUCGAGCUUGUAAUUAGAUGGGUAAGAAAACCACUUCCAGGUAGAUUAACAACUCAAU
rnacentral:tRNA from 2 species